GCUAGUGUGGUAUAAUGGUUUGAGUACUAGACUACAACUCUGAAGAUCAGGGUUCAAUUCCUCACUUGGC